CUUAUUUGUGAUAGAAAUUGAGGAUUUUAUAAGAUAACCAUAGCUCCCUUUGUAGAGUUAGUGUGUGGGUUUUCUCUCUUUUAGGAGUUGAGGAGCAAGCAUUGAGAUGCUUUAGAAGGAUCAAUCAUCGGUCUUUCAAUGACUUUAUUUGGUUUGUUGGCUGAAUUUUCAUUCAAGUUUUAGUUAUAGUACAAGCCUCCAAUAUGGAAACUUUUUGAAUCUAUGCCAGUUUUUCCAUAAUUCACCAAGGUACCACUACUCACAGGUAAGUUCAGUUUUUUGCCAUUACUCAACUUUUCUACAGAAGGACUUACAAGACAAGCAGCAGGCUGCAAGCUCUUGCGUUCAAGCAAGUCACUUGAACUAUUUUCAUCAACUGCUGAAGUGAAGCGACCCUCCGAAGAUAUAGUUGUUUUUUCUUUAUUUGCUAAUGCAUACUUUCUUGAUAUGUCCUUAUUUGAUUCUUUCAGAUCAGCUUCUCUUUGGUCUAUUGAAGAAGGAGAGUAAACUACUUAUUUUGAUGGCUGAAUUAGGUGGUGCCUAGUAGCAGAAAGUUGUGAUUCAAUAUGGUCAUCUUAUUAUGAAGUUUGAAAACACUAUACUUGCAGAAAAGGUCAAGCUCGAGAAAGAACAAAGCGGUCAACAGAGGAAUCAAGUCGCUAGUCUAUUACAGCUAGAUCAUGAUAAAAAAAUGCAGAUACACCAACAGAGUUUGACUAUACAUAUCUACAGUUUUGAAGUAGUGUGCUUCUGACAGUACAAAUGAGCAUAUUCAUGGGCUGUUUGUCUACAAUUAAGAUGUAAUUCAAUAUGUUACCACAUCGCGUGAGCUAUUGGAGCAAAUAGGAGCAGAGGCUGCAGCGGGUGGAAUAUCUAGGAUACAGUAGGAUUGUGAUCUUUAGCUGCUGGGGGGAAACUAUUACAG